rnacentral:lncRNA from 1 species
UUCAUAUGGAUUCUUACGUGAGUUUUGAGUGUGUGUUCGUUUUGAGUGUGUGUUCUUGGGCCUGAACCAACAGUUGUGCACCGAUUGCUGGUGGUGAUUGGAGAGGGUAGACCGAAUAUGAAAUCUAAGUGGGAUAAGGUCGACAAGGACAGAAGACAUCCCAGUGGACAGGUCCUUGUAUCAAGUGUUGGGUCAACAUUCUUAUCUGCUGGCACCGAGUAAACAGUCUUCGCGGUUGGGAAUCAGACCAACAACAAGAACAAAAAAUGGCUCUAAGGUUGCACGCCGGGUGUUCGAGAUAUUGCCUGAAUGAGUAGACUUCAAUUGAUUCUAUGUUCAUUUGGCCGCUGACCCAGGUUGAAGGAUGCCAUAUGUUUCAGACUAUACGAAGAUUCCCACCUGGUUAUCAUUAGGUUAAAUUUUAAAUUUAUAUCAUCUCAUUUGUU